AUUCUGCAGUGAUUUUCUUCCAAUCCAGUAUCAUUUGUACGUUGCAGCAUCAUCGAACACUAUGACCCAUGAAUCAGAAGAUAACGUAGAUGCUACGAGAGAGCUCGUUUCACAAUGGACAACAGAAGUGUUACGUGACUUUCUACAAGGAGGGGACUCAAGCUUGGAAAUCGAGUACCGGUAGUCAUUAUUUUAUGGGUGUUCUCUGCCUUGACUCUGGGGGUACUGUUCAGCCAUCCGAGGUAGAGAUAAACUGGACGAUGGAUGGAGAGGGGCGGGGGGGGGGGGGGGGGGGGGGGGGGGAGAAAGGCAUGCAGACUGCAGAGCUGGUCGUCUACUAUGUAUAGAGACAUUUGUGUGUACCUAGUAGAUAAGGACCCUCCAUCACUAGAGGGAAGAAUGAGAGACUACAAAGAGGGAAAGGCAUUUAGUUAUUUUGCCAGUUUCUGGUUAGGGAGAUAUUUUUUUCAUCUCGUGGGAGAAAGCUGUCUGUAAUUCAAAAUCAUUUGAUACUUGAAUAAAUUUAGUUCAUUUUCUAGACUGUUUCAUGUCAAACCGUUGAUUCUACUUUCUUGUGAGUAUAGUCAGAGAGAUAGAGAAGUAACACGAGUAAA
rnacentral:lncRNA from 1 species